GUGGGGAAUUUUGGACAAUGGGCGAAAGCCUGAUCCAGCCAUGCCGCGUGCAGGAUGAAGGCCUUCGGGUUGUAAACUGCUUUUGUACGGAACGAAAAGACUUCUUCUAAUACAGGAGGUCCAUGACGGUACCGUAAGAAUAAGCACCGGCUAACUACGUGCCAGCAGCCGCGGUAAUACGUAGGGUGCAAGCGUUAAUCGGAAUUACUGGGCGUAAAGCGUGCGCAGGCGGUUAUAUAAGACAGAUGUGAAAUCCCCGGGCUCAACCUGGGAACUGCAUUUGUGACUGUAUAGCUAGAGUACGGUAGAGGGGGAUGGAAUUCCGCGUGUAGCAGUGAAAUGCGUAGAUAUGCGGAGGAACACCGAUGGCGAAGGCAAUCCCCUGGACCUGUACUGACGCUCAUGCACGAAAGCGUGGGGAGCAAACAGGAUUAGAAACCCCUGUAGUCC
rnacentral:rRNA from 1 species